GAUCAUUACGAAAAGAGUAUUCCGUACUCGUAAACCCAUUGUGAACAUACCAAUCGUCAGUUUCUUCGGCGGGAGGCCCCUGGGAGGGGCCCCGGGGCCCGGCCUGAGCCGGGCUCCCGCCGGAGGGGCGCAACCGAAAACUCUUUGCUGUACCCCCAGUGGCAACUCCGAGUUAAAAAUACAAAACAAGUUAAAACUUUCAACAACGGAUCUCUUGGUUCUGGCAUCGAUGAAGAACGCAGCGAAAUGCGAUAAGUAAUGUGAAUUGCAGAAUUCAGUGAAUCAUCGAAUCUUUGAACGCACAUUGCGCCCGCCAGCAUUCUGGCGGGCAUGCCUGUUCGAGCGUCAUUUCAACCCCUCAGGCCCCAGUGCCUGGCGUCGGGGCCCUCCCUCGCCGGGAGGCCCUCAGAGACAGUGGCGGACCCCCCGCGGCUCCGAGCGCAGUAGCAUUAUAUUCUCGCUCUGGAGGCCCGCGGGGCGGCCCCGGCCGUAAAAGGCAGGGCUUAACACCCCUACUACACACCAAAGGUUGACCUCGGAUCAGGUAGGAGUACCCGCUGAACUUAAGCAUAUCAAUAAGCGGAGGAAAAUAAACCAACAGGGAUUGCCCCAGUAACGGCGAGUGAAGCGGCAACAGCUCAGAUCUGAAAUCUGGCCCCCAGGGCCCGAGUUGUAAUCUGUAGAGGAUGCUUCUGGCAAGGCGCCGCCCGAGUUCCCUGGAACGGGACGCCGGAGAGGGUGAGAGCCCAGUACAGGCGGACGCCGAGCCUCUGUGAAGCUCCUUCGACGAGUCGAGUAGUUUGGGAAUGCUGCUCAAAGCGGGAGGUAAAUUUCUUCUAAAGCUAAAUACCGGCCAGAGACCGAUAGCGCACAAGUAGAGUGAUCGAAAGAUGAAAAGCACUUUGAAAAGAGGGUUAAAAAGCACGUGAAAUUGUUGAAAGGGAAGCGCCUGUGACCAGACUCGCGCCCGGCGGAUCACCCGGCGUUCUCGCCGGUGCAUUGCGCCGGGCUCGGGCCAGCAUCGGUUCUGGCAGGGGGAUAAAGGCGGCGGGGAUGUGGCUCCCC
rnacentral:rRNA from 1 species